CCUACGGGAGGCAGCAGUGAGGAAUAUUGGUCAAUGGACGAGAGUCUGAACCAGCCAAGUAGCGUGAAGGAUGACUGCCCUAUGGGUUGUAAACUUCUUUUAUAUGGGAAUAAAAUGUUCCACGUGUGGGUUUUUGUAUGUAUCAUAUGAAUAAGGAUCGGCUAACUCCGUGCCAGCAGCCGCGGUAAUACGGAGGAUCCGAGCGUUAUCCGGAUUUAUUGGGUUUAAAGGGAGCGUAGGUGGAUGGUUAAGUCAGUGGUGAAAGUUUGCGGCUCAACCGUAAAAUUGCAGUUGAAACUGGCAGUCUUGAGUACAGUAGAGGUGGGCGGAAUUCGUGGUGUAGCGGUGAAAUGCUUAGAUAUCACGAAGAACUCCGAUUGCGAAGGCAGCUCACUGGACUGCAACUGACACUGAGGCUCGAAAGUGUGGGUAUCAAACAGGAUUAGAUACCCCGGUAGUC
rnacentral:rRNA from 1 species